rnacentral:rRNA from 1 species
CAAUCUGGAAAGAUGAAUCAAAGAAGGUAAUAAUCCUGUAGUCGAAAAUGUUGUCUCUCUUGAGUGGAUCCUGAGUACGACGGAGCACGUGAAAUUCCGUCGGAAUCUGGGAGGACCAUCUCCUAAGGCUAAAUACUCUCUAGUGACCGAUAGUGAACCAGUACCGUGAGGGAAAGGUGAAAAGUACCCCGGAAGGGGAGUGAAAGAGAACUUGAAACCGUGUGCUUACAAGUAGUCAGAGCCCGUUAAUGGGUGAUGGCGUGCCUUUUGUAGAAUGAACCGGCGAGUUACGAUCUGAUGCAAGGUUAAGCAGCAAAUGUGGAGCCGCAGCGAAAGCGAGUCUGAAUAGGGCGUUGAGUAUUUGGUCGUAGACCCGAAACCAGGUGAUCUACCCUUGGUCAGGUUGAAGUUCAGGUAACACUGAAUGGAGGACCGAACCGACUUACGUUGAAAAGUGAGCGGAUGAACUGAGGGUAGCGGAGAAAUUCCAAUCGAACUUGGAGAUAGCUGGUUCUCUCCGAAAUAGCUUUA